CUUCCUCUCUGUGCUCUCGCGUGGCGCGCGGCAUGGCGGCGCUGCCGGCUGGCGCUCGGCGGCUGGUUAUGGCGCGGCCAUCCGGAGUGACCGCGGCGGCUUUAGGCCUACCGUCCCUUCCCGGGCAAAGGGGAGACGGCGCGGACUCGGCGGCCGUGUGAGGAGCACGGCCCGCCGGACCCCGUGGGGAAUGGGUCGGCGGGGAAGCCAGGCGCCGUCCGAGAUGUAGAUGGUCACCGUGUGCCCCGGUGCACACCGGGCGAGAACGGAGGAGUGCACAUCGGAGGCCGAAGGUGGCUGUCUGAAGCUGAGAGCGCAAAGGUGCCUGAAGGUAGGGCGACUGCAAGGCACGAGUUAGGUGCGGAUUUCCUUCCAAGUCCGAGUGCCGUCCGGAUCACUAGCGUUUAUUGGGUCGUUUGCUUACCCGAAGUUAACCCGGAAGGGUGUCCUUGAUGAUUUGGAAAUUUGAUCUUCAGAAACAUGGAUGACUUAAAUUUUCUAAGAGGCGUGUCAAGACACUGCGUAGAUGAAUGCAUUUUGUAACAAGGCUAUGAAUAAAUAUUUACUAUGCUGCUUUGA